rnacentral:lncRNA from 1 species
GCAUCGUUGUUGUCGCCGAGGCAGCGGCCGCCACCACGUCCGCACCAGCAGCUGAUUGACUUGAUGCAGGUUUGCUGAUUGUAACUCCCAUUUGUGCUGCUUUUUGCAGCAAUGCAGUUGCAGACAUGUGGGGUGAUGCCGAUGCCGCGGCGGCUUGGAAUGAGGAGGAAAGAGUUGGGUUAGGGUUAGGGUUGUUGACAUUUUCAUGAUGAUGAAUCAUGGUUUGGUCCAGUCUCGGGCUGCUGAACAAGUCAUGACUUGUUGGAGGACCUCCCCCUGGAUCACAGAGCCAAGGCGGCAGCUCUGGUGGCCUCAAGUUGCUAUUGAAGCUUUGUUGUCGUUGUAACUGUAACUGUAACUGAUCUUGUUCUCGCUUGAGAGGAAACACGGGGAGGCCGCCGCCAUGGAGAGGAUGGUUUUGGAGGUGGAGUUGGACUGAAGAUGUAGUACUAUUGCCGCCGCCGCCUAGUAGUCCUAGUGGGUGGUUGUUUGUUGUAAUUGCCCGGGCACUCUCUUCUGCCAAGGCGUCGCAGAAAGCUCUAUGGGUGAUGAAACUGUCCCUCCUGACAAACAAAAACAAACAGAAAAAAACAAAAGGAAUAAAACAUCAAAAUGCUGCUGCAGAUUAAACAAUAGACAGUACGGUACCAUAUAUCUAUGAACGAUGCUCCCUCUUUUUCAUCUGAGUCCGUCUCUGUCGUCAACUUUUUCUGCGCUUUCAUCUAUGGUGGCAGAAUAGAUAGUAGUAGAGUACAUGAUUUUUUAGCAGUAAAGUUUUCUUUGUUUUUAGCUUUUUGCAGUGAAAGAAUAAAUAAAGUAGUGUUAGGACAUACUACAAAACUUGUAAUGAUACAAAUUCACUGCACAUACGCACAUACACACAAAGACAAAGACAAAAGAUUGCAAGAACAACACAAGAUUCACAAGGCAAAGAUGCUUAAGGUGGUACCACGUACUAAUUGCCUAGUAAAACUGAAUGUGAGCAAAGUAUUUUUUUUUUUUUGGUCAAAAAAUGAGAGCAAAGUAUUUGACAUUGGGUAUUUUGGUAGCUUCUUUCUAGUGUGCAUGGAACAUCCAUUUGACCCCAGAUUCCUAAAUUAAAAAAGAAAAAAAAGAAGAUCGAUUAC